AUAAUACUCCCUCCGUCCCAAAAUUCUUGUCUUGGAUUUAUCUAGAUAUGGAUGUAUUUAACACUAAAACAUGAAUAGAUACAUCCGUAUGUAGACAAAUCUAAGACAAGGAUUUUGGGACAGAGGGAGUAUACA
rnacentral:pre_miRNA from 1 species